rnacentral:rRNA from 1 species
UGGGGGAUAUUGCACAAUGGGCGAAAGCCUGAUGCAGCGAUGCCGCGUGGGGGAUGAAGGCUUUCGGGUUGUAAACCUCUUUCGCCAUCGAACAAGGCAAGCUUAGGGUGGGUUGAGGGUAGGUGGAGAAGAAGCGCCGGCUAACUACGUGCCAGCAGCCGCGGUAAUACGUAGGGCGCGAGCGUUGUCCGGAAUUAUUGGGCGUAAAGGGCUUGUAGGCGGCUUGUUGCGCCUGCUGUGAAAACGCGGGGCUUAACUUCGCGCGUGCAGUGGGUACGGGCAGGCUUGAGUGUGGUAGGGGUGACUGGAAUUCCAGGUGUAGCGGUGGAAUGCGCAGAUAUCUGGAGGAACACCGAUGGCGAAGGCAGGUCACUAGGCCAUUACUGACGCUGAGGAGCGAAAGCAUGGGUAGCGAACAGG